CUUGGUCAUUUAGAGGAAGUAAAAGUCGUAACAAGGUUUCCGUAGGUGAACCUGCGGAAGGAUCAUUAACGAAUUCAUUAGGAGUUGUGCUGGUUCUUACAAGUGCACGCUCCUUACAAUUCCAUUCACACCCAAUGUGCACUCUAAGAGACGUAUCUCCCCCGUUUACGUGCCUUUGCCGGCUCGGGAUUUCGUCUGUUUAACACACUCUUUAUUGUAAUAGAAUGUCAUUUGGCUUAAAUGCCUAAAACUUUAAAUAUAACUUUCAACAACGGAUCUCUUGGUUCUCGCAUCGAUGAAGAACGCAGCGAAAUGCGAUAAGUAAUGUGAAUUGCAGAAUUCAGUGAAUCAUCGAAUCUUUGAACGCACCUUGCACUCCUUGGUAUUCCGAGGAGUAUGCCUGUUCGAGUGUCAUGAAACUCUCAAACCUCAUCUUCAUUGAUGACGGGCUUGGAUUUGGACGUUGCUGGACUUUACGGUUCGGCUCGUCUUGAAUGCAUUAGCUGACGAUUUCGACUUCAGUUAAACCGUGUGAUAAUACAUCAACGCGGGCAGCCGUCAAAAGCGCUGGGUCGUCAUUCGAAGGCUUCUAACCGUCCCUUUGCGGACCGCCUUUACUGGCGUUUCAUUUCACAUCUGGCCUCGAAUCAGGUAGGACUACCCGCUGAACUUAAGCAUAUCAAUAAGCGGAGGAAAAGAAACUAACAAGGAUUCCCCUAGUAACGGCGAGUGAAGCGGGAAGAGCUCAAAUUUUAAAUCUGGCGGUCUCAGGCUGUCCGAGUUGUAAUCUAGAGAAGUGUUAUCUGUGCCGGACCACAUGUAAGUCUCCUGGAACGGAGCGUCAUAGAGGGUGAGAAUCCCGUCUGUAAUGUGGACUCCCGGUGCUCUACGAUGCGCUCUCAAAGAGUCGAGUUGUUUGGGAAU
rnacentral:sRNA from 1 species